rnacentral:rRNA from 1 species
CAAGUCGUACGGUAAGCUUCGGCUUAUAGUGGCGAAAGGGAGAGUAACGCGUGGUUACAUGCCCUCGGGACCGGGAUAGCGGCGGGAAACUGCCGGUAAUACCGGAUAAUAUCUUUGGAUCAAAGGUGUGAUUCCGCCCGAGGAUUGGACCGCGUUCUAUUAGCUUGUUGGCGGGGUAAUGGCCCACCAAGGCGACGAUGGAUACCGGGUGUGAGAGCAUGGCCCGGCUCACUGGGACUGAGACACUGCCCAGACACCUACGGGUGGCUGCAGUCGAGAAUCUUCGGCAAUGGGGGCAACCCUGACCGAGCGACGCCGCGUGCGGGACGAAGGCCUUCGGGUUGUAAACCGCUGUCAGUUGGGAGGAAGUGCCGGGGGGUUCUCCCCUCGGUUUGACCGAUCUUCAGAGGAAGGACGGGCUAAGUUCGUGCCAGCAGCCGCGGUAAGACGAACCGUCCAAACGUUAUUCGGUAUCACUGGGCUUAAAGCGUGCGUAGGCGGCCUGGUAGGUGAGGUGUGAAAGCCCACGGCUCAACCGUGGAAUUGCGCUUCAAACCACCAGGCUGGAGGAUGGCAGGGGUGAUGGGAACUGAUGGUGGAGCGGUGAAAUGCGUUGAUAUCAUCAGGAACACCGGUGGCGAAGGCGCAUCACUGGGCCAUUUCUGACGCUGAGGCACGAAAGCUAGGGUAGCGAACGGGAUUAGAUACCCCGGUAGUCCUAGCUGUAAACGAUGAGCACUGGGUUGAGGGGACCUCCACAUCUUCUCGGCCGUAGCGAAAGCGUUAAGUGCUCCGCCUGGGGAGUAUGGCCGCAAGGCUGAAACUCAAAGGAAUUGACGG